rnacentral:rRNA from 1 species
AUUGAACGCUGGCGGCAUGCCUUACACAUGCAAGUCGAACGGCAGCACGGGUGCUUGCACCUGGUGGCGAGUGGCGAACGGGUGAGUAAUACAUCGGAACAUGUCCUGUAGUGGGGGAGAGCCCGGCGAAAGCCGGAUUAAUACCGCAUACGAUCUACGGAGGAAAGCGGGGGACCUUCGGGCCUCGCGCUAUGGGGUUGGCCGAUGGCUGAUUAGCUAGUUGGUGGGGUAAGGGCCUACCAAGGCGACGAUCAGUAGCUGGUCUGAGAGGACGACCAGCCACACUGGGACUGAGACACGGCCCAGACUCCUACGGGAGGCAGCAGUGGGGAAUUUUGGACAAAGGGCGAAAGCCUGAUCCAGCAAUGCCGCGUGUGUGAAGAAGGCCUUCGGGUUGUAAAGCACUUUUGUCCGGAAAGAAAUCCUUGGCCCUAAUACGGUCGGGGGAUGACGGUACCGGAAGAAUAAGCACCGGCUAACUACGUG